UACGGGGGGGGCAAGCGUUGUUCGGAAUUACUGGGCGUAAAGGGCGCGUAGGCGGCGCUCUAAGUCGGAUGUGAAAACUCUGGGCUCAACCCAGAGCCUGCAUCCGAAACUGGAGUGCUAGAGUUCUGGAGGGGGUAGCGGAAUUCCUGGUGUAGCGGUGAAAUGCGUAGAUAUCAGGAGGAACACCGGUGGCGAAGGCGGCUACCUGGACAGAAACUGACGCUGAGGCGCGAAAGCUAGGGGAGCAAACAGG
rnacentral:rRNA from 1 species